rnacentral:rRNA from 1 species
AAUCAACGGCACCACGAGGAUCCUACUGUCUCCCUACUCCAAUCAGUGAAACUGAUCUCUCCGUGAAGAAGCGGGGAUACAAAUAUAAGACGAGAAGACCCCAUGGAGCUUUAAACCCGACGACACCCAUUUUCUUUUUACCCUAGUAUUCAUUUGGCUAUGUUUGAUUGGUUUUAGGUUGGGGUGACCACGGAGCAUAAAAUAACCUCCACGAAAAAUAGACUAAUAAUCUUUAUCAAAGAAGUACACUUCUAAGAAUUAACAAAUUAAUUUCCAAUGAUCCGAUAUU